rnacentral:lncRNA from 1 species
UGUAACACUCACCACGAGGGUCCGCAGCUUCAUUCUUAAAGUCAGCGAGACCAAGAACCCACCAAUUCCGGACACGCAAGUAUUCGUAACGUUCUUCUGUUCCAAGAAAAAUGGUCUUCUUACUUCCUUGAUGGCUCACAACAUGCUCCUUUCUACUGCAGGAACACUGUAUAACUUCUGUCAAGCAUGAACUCCCCACCUCUGUUUGACAUACUUCUCUACUUUCAGAACUCAGCUGAACUAUCGCUUCUCAAGGGAGCACUCAAACUUCCUGAACAGAACCACCUUAGAUAUUGCUGGCCAGCUCAUGAAUUGUGGCUUGUGGUCCAGCUAAUCUUUCCUAGUCUAUUCAGCUAUGGCCAGAGAAGAUGUGCUUAACUUGUGGAGCCUUACUGUUUCUCUAAGGACAUUCUUCUACAUAAUGUUGCGUCAGUAGAAUAAUUUUCUCACCAAGUGAUAGCUAGGUAGGUCAGUAAAUCCUCUCCUACACCGUAGUUAUUUGCUUUAAGCCAACUUGAAGUGAACUUCUGUCUCUUCUUUAAUCUGAGAAUCUUACGUCUUCAAGCCCUGUUCACACCGCUUGUCCCAUUAGAAUAAACCUUAUUUAAGCUAAGUUCUUUCCCAUCUCAAGAUCACUACACUGGCUGUUCCCACUUCUAGGAAUGCUCUGAUUGGAAUCCCAUUACGUCUUCCACAUUAAAGGAAGCAUUGUUUGUUCUAGAA